GGGCACCACCAGGGGGUGCAGCUGCGGCUUCUUUGACUCAACACGGGAAAUCUCACCAGGCCCGGACACCGGAAGGAUUGACAGAUUAACAGCUCUUUCUUGAUUCGGUGGGUGGUGGUGCAUGGCCGUUCUUAGUUGGUGGAGCGAUUUGUCUGGUUAAUUCCGGUAACGAACGAGACUCUAGCCUGCUAAAUAGGCGUCACCAUUUUGGUGUGCUCGACUUCGGUCGUGCAACUCACUGGCGGCGUAUUAAAAUUCUUCUUAGAGGGACCGGCGGCUUCGAGCCGCACGAGAUUGAGCAAUAACAGGUCUGUGAUGCCCUUAGAUGUCCUGGGCCGCACGCGCGCUACAUUGAAGGAAUCA
rnacentral:rRNA from 1 species